rnacentral:rRNA from 1 species
UGGGGAAUAUUGGACAAUGGGCGCAAGCCUGAUCCAGCAAUGCCGCGUGUGUGAAGAAGGCCUUCGGGUUGUAAAGCACUUUCAGAGGGGAGGAAAAGCUCCUUUAUAAUACAAAGGAGAAAAGACGUUACCUUCAGAAGAAGCACCGGCUAACUCUGUGCCAGCAGCCGCGGUAAUACAGAGGGUGCAAGCGUUAAUCGGAAUUAUUGGGCGUAAAGCGUGUGUAGGUGGUAUAACAAGUCAGUCGUGAAAACCCUGGGCUCAACCUGGGAACUGCGAUUGAAACUGUUGAACUAGAGUGUGGAAGAGGGAAGUGGAAUUUCCGGUGUAGCGGUGAAAUGCGUAGAUAUCGGAAGGAACAUCAGUGGCGAAGGCGACUUCCUGGUCCAACACUGACACU